rnacentral:lncRNA from 1 species
UAUAAUUGGAUGUGAAUUUUGCUUGUUGUUACCUAAGCUUAUUGGGCUUCUGAGCCUUUUUGAACCUUCAGAACUAAGGUCUAUAGAAUUGGGACAUCUUGAUUUUCUCACGACCUUCUUUAGGCUACUUUGAUUCUGUUAAUUCCUGGUUAUUAAAAGGUUGUUUCAACCUCUAAAACUGCUUUACUUUCAAUAUUGUCAGAAAUAGGAGAUGUGAAUGGAAUGUUUCUGGCAGAAAAUUCACAUGACAGAUGAUUUCAAAUUAUCAUUUGUAUGAGGGGAAGAAACAGAUGUUUAUCAUCACUAACCACUGAUAGUUGAU